GGGACUUGAGCAAGAGGAGCGGGAGGCGGCGUUCCUUCGGCGGAAGAGACGAAUGGAGGGAGCUGCUGCUUUUACGGUUGUUACUGGGAAUUGGCUCACACAAUUAUGGAGACCCAAGAAGUCCCAGCAUCAAUGGUCAACAGCAACCUGGAGACCCAGGAGAGCCAAUGUAGUAGGUCAGUCUGAGCCCAAUAUAAAGGCAAGAGAAGACCAACGUCCUAGCUCACAGGCAGUCAGGCAAGAAGAAUUCCUUUCUCCUCAGGAGAGAGUCAGCCUUUUUGUUCUGUUCAGGCCUUGGUUGAGGCCUGUCCACAUUAGAGAAGGUAAUCCCGAGGGUAGACCAUCUUAAAUGAGGCAGCAGAGCAGUGUGCUCAUGUCCUGACCUAGGACCCAGAAUGGGUCCUGCUCCCUCGUUUACCAGAUUGAAAUCCUGAAAGUUACUGAACUUGUACGCAUCUCUGUUUACUCAUUACAAAAGGACGGGUGACAAGAAUACCCAUCUCCUGGGGAUUGGGGUGGGAACUGCUUGAAUUAGAACUUAAAAUAAUUGGGUUUUCAGUAUUUCAUAUAGCUAUAAUUAUUAAAUUAACAUGAAACCA